GAUGAAGAACUUAGCGAAAUGCGAUAAGUAAUGUGAAUUGCAGAAUUCAGUGAAUCAUCGAGUCUUUGAACGCACAUUGCGCCCCCUGGUAUUCCGGGGGGCAUGCCUGUCCGAGCGUCAUUGCUGCCCUCAAGCACGGCUUGUGUGUUGGGCCCCCGUCCCCGGUUUCCCCCGGGGACGGGCCCGAAAGGCAGCGGCGGCACCGCGUCCGGUCCUCGAGCGUAUGGGGCUUUGUCACCCGCUCUGUAGGCCCGGCCGGCGCCAGCCGACACCCAACUUUAUUUCUAAGGUUGACCUCGGAUCAGGUAGGGAUACCCGCUGAACUUAAGCAUAUCAAUAAGCGGAGGA
rnacentral:misc_RNA from 1 species